UGAGAGCCAGCUCCCCGGGGGCUGCUGUAGCCAUGCAGGAGUGGUCUGCAGGGUUCAGCUUUCGAGCUCCGGAGGUGAGAGAUGCCGUGUUGAGGAACGAGGUGACACCAGCUGAAGAAAUCUACACAGGAUGGAUCUUCUGCAGUGAGGAAAAAAAAAAUUUAACACCAUCAAAGAGAGCUUAGCCUUUUUUCUAAGGUAGAGUCUAGAGGAUUUUCUGGCAGGCUGGUAAAGGUACGAGAGAAAAAAGAAGAAUCAAGAAUGGUGAUAAGCUUUUUGCCCUGAGCGUCUAGAAGAAUGGUCAUAGUUGCAGAGACACCGCAUCAGGACCAAAACUGGCCACUAAAACCACGGUCCUAACUGCACUGUUUUAUGGACCCCUCUUGGGAGAAGAAUGGGAUUUCAGCAGGCUCCUGCAGCUCGUGCUAUAAGCUCAAGGUAAGAGAGUGGAAGCUUUGCCCAUUUUGUUCAUCAUUCUAUCUACAAUCAGACACCAAAACAGUUCCUGGUUCACAGUAAAUGUGAAAAACUCUCCAUAAUAUCUUAAGGUAGCAGCAUUUCUCCAUUUUAUACAUAGCUCAGAAAGUUUAAAACCUUGCCCAUGGGUGUGCAUGGCCCAUCAUGGGAGUCUCAGAGGAGGUUCAAAGUAUUACCAUUUCUUUCCUUGGUCACCAUGGAUUUACUUACU